rnacentral:rRNA from 1 species
AACGAACGCUGGCGGCAUGCCUAACACAUGCAAGUCGAACGGGAUCCUAGCUUGCUAGGUGAGAGUGGCGGACGGGUGAGUAACACGUGGGAAUCUGCCUUUUGGUUCGGGAUAACCGCGGGAAACUGCGGCUAAUACCGAAUGCCCUCGAGAGAGGAAAGAUUUAUCGCCAGAAGAGGAGCCCGCGUCCGAUUAGGUAGUUGGUGGGGUAAAGGCCUACCAAGCCGACGAUCGGUAGCUGGUCUGAGAGGAUGAUCAGCCACACUGGGACUGAGAUACGGCCCAGACUCCUACGGGAGGCAGCAGUGGGGAAUAUUGGACAAUGGGCGAAAGCCUGAUCCAGCAAUGCCGCGUGUGUGAAGAAGGUCUUCGGAUCGUAAAGCACUUUCGACAGGGACGAUGAUGACGGUACCUGUAGAAGAAGCCCCGGCUAACUUCGUGCCAGCAGCCGC